AGGCCCAGCUAAUAUUUGUAUUUUAGUAGAGGGGGGUUUCGCCAUGUUGGCCAGGCUGGCCUUGAACUCCUGGCCUCAAGUGAUCUGCAUGCCUUGGCCUCCCAAAGUGCUGAAAUUACAGGUGUGAGCCACUACACCUGGCCAGAAGGUAAUUUUUUAUACAACAGUUUUAUACUUAUAUGGAAAAAUAGAGUAUGGCCUUUAUCAGAUAUACCUGUGUAAUUUUAUGGAGUGUUCUAAUUCUCUUG
rnacentral:lncRNA from 1 species